UGAAGUUUACGUUGACCGAGUAUGAAGAGAGAACCCGAAAAAGUAACACGGGAAAAACACGGGAAAAUGACGGAGGAAAAGAGCAACACUACGUUCAGUGAAGGAGCAGACCCUGAGCUGAGGAGAUGCGACUCGGACACUUAUCAGUGUCUGAUCUGCACAAAAAAGGGGAGCUAUGCAAAGCUUGUGUCCCAUCUGCAAGGACACCAAAGGUCAAUGGUGGAGUACGGUGGAAAGGGCCCAACAAGCCCAACAGAAGCGACGCGAGGCAUGUUGUCUGUUAACCAGUGUAAUCACAGAGGAUCAGGGCAUGCUGCAACACCUUAAAAACAUCAUCACAGGCAACACAGUGUCUCCUUGGGCCAAGAAACAGGACAGGGUCAUCCUUCUUUUUGAAGAUGAUGAACAAGUGGACAAAGUCAUGCACUUCUUGUCUGAAGUACUCAAACGUACUGAGACAGACAAGAAGUCUGCAGAUCCAGUGGCAUUCGUAAUGGAUGUACUUUUGCCAGAGGUGAGAUCUCAGACACUGACACGCCCUCGGAGCUGUUCACUCCAUCUCCCUGGGCAAAGCCAAGGAGAUGUACAUGCGUGGCACAGAG